GACGAACGCUGGCGGCGUGCUUAACACAUGCAAGUCGAACGCUGAAGCUUGGUGCUUGCACUGGGUGGAUGAGUGGCGAACGGGUGAGUAAUAAGUGAGUAACCAGCCCUUGACUCUGGGAUAAGCCCGGGAAACUGGGUCUAAUACUGGAUACGACAUGUCACCGCAUGGUGGUGUGUGGAAAGGGUUUUACUGGUGUUGGAUGGGCUCACGGCCUAUCAGCUUGUUGGUGGGGUAAUGGCUCACCAAAGCGACGACGGGUAGCCGGCCUGAGAGGGUGACCGGCCACACUGGGACGGAGACGCGGCCCAGACUCCUACGGGAGGCAGCAGUGGGGAAUAUUGCACAAUGGGCGGAAGCCUGAUGCAGCGACGCCGCGUGAGGGAUGACGGCCAUCGGGUUGUAAACCUCUUUCAGCACGGAAGAAGCGAAAGUGACGGUACGUGCAGAAGAAGCGCCGGCUAACUACGUG
rnacentral:rRNA from 1 species